rnacentral:hammerhead_ribozyme from 1 species
GCAUUGCUGAAGAGUCCCACAAUAGGACGAAACGGCCGUCCAGUUC